rnacentral:lncRNA from 1 species
UUUUCAUAAAAUAUGUUACAAUGGUCCUUAUGAAAGCUAAUCACAUAGCCUUCUUGUGCUAAACAUGAAACAGAAAUCAAAUUCCUACUUGCUGUAGGCACAUAAUAAUAGUCUCUAAGAACUAAAUCUAAUCCUAACGGUAAUUGCAGAGGAUAGGUUCUCACGGUCACAACAGCAACUCUUGCUCUGUUCUCGACACAUAGGAU